GACGAACCGUGCGAACGUUAUUCGGAAUCACUGGGCUUAAAGGGCGCGUAGGCGGGCCGCCAAGUCGGAGGUGAAAUCCUGCAGCUUAACUGCAGAAGUGCCCCCGAUACUGGCGGCCUCGAGCGAGGUAGGGGCAUGUGGAACUUCCGGUGGAGCGGUGAAAUGCGUAGAUAUCGGAAGGAACGCCGGUGGCGAAAGCGACGUGCUGGACCUCUUCUGACGCUGAGGCGCGAAAGCUAGGGGAGCAAAC
rnacentral:rRNA from 1 species